UCGAAUAAAGAUUCCGAAGGUGCCCGGGCGCCGAGAGCUCCCGGGUCAAAAGGGAAGCGCCUUAAAAAGCCACGGUCCCUCGGGGGAAAACCCCCAGCCACUGUCGGCGCUGCCAUCGGCGGUCCGCCUCACCCGCGGACCGUCCCUCCGCAGGCCACUGUCCCGGUCGAACCGGGAUGGGAAGGCCUCGGACGGAUGCGCCAGUCAGGAAACCUGCCUUCGGAAAAAACAACAC
rnacentral:ncRNA from 2 species